UACGUAGGCUUCAAGCGUUGUCCGGAUUCAUUGGGCGUAAAGCGUAUGUAGGCGGCUAGGUAAGUCAGGCGUGCAAGCCCGUGGCUCAACCACGGAAUUGCGUUUGAAACUGCUUAGCUUGAGUACAGGAGAGGAAAGCGGAAUUCCCAGUGUAGCGGUGAAAUGCAUUGAUAUUGGGAAGAACAUCUGUGGCGAAGGCGGCUUUCUGGUCUGUUACUGACGCUGAGAUACGAAAGCCAGGGGAGCAAAGGGG
rnacentral:rRNA from 1 species